rnacentral:rRNA from 1 species
CAGGCCUAACACAUGCAAGUCGAGCGGGCCCUUCGGGGUCAGCGGCGGACGGGUGAGUAACGCGUGGGAACGUGCCUUCUGGUUCGGAAUAACUCAGGGAAACUUGAGCUAAUACCGGAUACGCCCUUUUUGGGGAAAGGUUUACUGCCGGAAGAUCGGCCCGCGUCUGAUUAGCUAGUUGGUGGGGUAACGGCCUACCAAGGCGACGAUCAGUAGCUGGUCUGAGAGGAUGAUCAGCCACACUGGGACUGAGACACGGCCCAGACUCCUACGGGAGGUAGCAGUGGGGAAUAUUGGACAAUGGGCGCAAGCCUGAUCCAGCCAUGCCGCGUGAGUGAUGAAGGCCUUAGGGUUGUAAAGCUCUUUUAUCCGGGACGAUAAUGACGGUACCGGAGGAAUAAGCCCCGGCUAACUUCGUGCCAGCAGCCGCGGUAAU